GUUUUAAGAAAUUGUAUAGUGCUCACUGAAAUGGGAGCGAUGCAGAGAAGAUUAGCAUCGCCCCUGCUCAAGGAUGACAUGCAAAUUUGUGAAGCAUUCCAUUUUAAU